AGGGAAUCUUCCGCAAUGGGCGAAAGCCUGACGGAGCAACGCCGCGUGAGUGAUGAAGGCCUUCGGGUCGUAAAACUCUGUUAUUAGGGAAGAACAAAUGUGUAAGUAACUAUGCACGUUUUGACGGUACCUAAUCAGAAAGCCACGGCUAACUACGUGCCAGCAGUCGCGGUAAUACGUAGGUGGCAAGCGUUAUCCGGAAUUAUUGGGCGUAAAGCGCGCGUAGGCGGUUUCUUAAGUCUGAUGUGAAAGCCCACGGCUCAACCGUGGAGGGUCAUUGGAAACUGGGAAACUUGAGUGCAGGAGAGGAAAGUGGAAUUCCAUGUGUAGCGGUGAAAUGCGCAGAGAUAUGGAGGAACACCAGUGGCGAAGGCGACUUUCUGGUCUGCAACUGACGCUGAUGUGCGAAAGCGUGGGGAUCAAACAGGAUUAGAUACCCUGGUAGUCCACGCCGUAAACGAUGAGUGCUAAGUGUUAGGGGGUUUCCGCCCCUUAGUGCUGCAGCUAACGCAUUAAGCACUCCGCCUGGGGAGUACGACCGCAAGGUUG
rnacentral:rRNA from 1 species